rnacentral:rRNA from 1 species
AGCAGCCGCGGUAAUUCCAGCUCCAAUAGCGUAUAUUAAAGUUGUUGCAGUUAAAAAGCUCGUAGUUGAAUUUCGGGGUCAGUAGAUUGGUCAUGCCUCUGGUAUGUACUGGUCUUACUGGCUCCUCCUUCCUGAUGAACCGUAAUGCCAUUAAUUUGGUGUUGCGGGGAGACUGGACUGUUACUUUGAAAAAUUAGAGUAUUUAAAGCAGGCUAACGCUUGAAUACAUUAGCAUGGAAUAAUGAAAUAGGACGUUCGAUCUUAUUUUGUUGGUUUCUAAGAUUGACGUAAUGAUUAAUAGGGAUAGUUGGGGGCAUUAGUAUUCAAUUGUCAGAGGUGAAAUUCUUGGAUUUAUUGAAGACUAACUACUGCGAAAGCAUUUGCCAAGGAUGUU